AGUGAACGCUGGCGGUAGGCCUAACACAUGCAAGUCGAACGGCAGCACAGUAAGAGCUUGCUCUUACGGGUGGCGAGUGGCGGACGGGUGAGGAAUACAUCGGAAUCUACUUUUUCGUGGGGGAUAACGUAGGGAAACUUACGCUAAUACCGCAUACGACCUACGGGUGAAAGCAGGGGAUCUUCGGACCUUGCGCGAUUGAAUGAGCCGAUGUCGGAUUAGCUAGUUGGCGGGGUAAAGGCCCACCAAGGCGACGAUCCAUAGCUGGUCUGAGAGGAUGAUCAGCCACACUGGAACUGAGACACGGUCCAGACUCCUACGGGAGGCAGCAGUGGGGAAUAUUGGACAAUGGGCGCAAGCCUGAUCCAGCCAUACCGCGUGGGUGAAGAAGGCCUUCGGGUUGUAAAGCCCUUUUGUCGGGAAAGAAAAGCAGCAGGUUAAUACCCCGCUGUUCUGACGGUACCCAAAGAAUAAGCACCGGCUAACUUCGUG
rnacentral:rRNA from 1 species